GGCCCAGUGACCUGGAUGACUGGAGAAUACCGGCUCCUCUUCUCUGGUCAUGUAGGAAGCCGAGGACCAAGUGCUUGGCUGGACUGCGUUCAUAGAGUCAUACUUGGAGGCGUCAACCCCCUCUGAAUAAAGCUGUGCAGUUUCAGCAGCAGGGUAUUGAUAAACAGCCUCAUCGACAUGGUUAGGGGAAUAGCUUUGUGAACCUUCUUGUACAUCAGCUGGGAGGUCAAGGUGCAGUGAAGAGCUAGAGUAACCCCCUUUAGUGUCAGUACUAGGUACUGCUUCAGCCUCCAGAGUCUGUUUGCUAAUGGUCUGCGCUGCCUGGGCCCAGUCACCUGAAUUACUGACGUAAACCGGCUCCUCUUCUCUAGUCAUGUAGGGAGCAGAAGACCAAGUGCUGGGCUGGACCACAUUCACAGAGUUGUAGUCGGAGAGGUCACUCUGUUCUGAAGGAAGAUGUGCAGUUUCAGCAGCAGGGUAUUGAUAAACAGCCUCAUCGACAAGGUUAGGGGAAUAGCUUUGUGAACCUUCUUGUACACCAGCUGGGAGGUCAAGGUGCAGUGAAGAGCUAGAGUAACCCCCUUUAGUGUCAAUACUAGGUACUGCUUCAGCCUCCAGGAUCUGUGCGCCAAUGUUCAGAGCGGCCUGGGUCCAGUUACCUGCAUUACUGGAGAAUACCGGCUCUUCUCUGGUAAUGUAACGAUCAGAGGACCAACUGCUUGGCUGUUCCACAUUCACAGAGUCAUAGGUGUAGGGGUCAUCAUCUGAUGAAGGAAGCUGUGCAGUUUCAGCAGCUGGGUAUUGAGAAAAGUCCUCAUAGACAAGGUUAGUGCAAUAGCUUUGUGAACCUUCUUGUACACCAGCUGGGAGGUCAAGGUGCAGUGAAGAGCUAGAGUAACCCCCUUUAGUGUCAAUUCUAGGUACUGCUUCAGCCUCCAGGAUCUGUGCGCUAAUGUUCGGAGCAGCGUGGGCCCAGUUACUUAAUACCGGCUCCUCUCUAGUCAUGUAAGGAGCAGAAGACCAAGUGCUUGGCUGGACCACAUUCACCGAGUUGUAGUCAGAGAGGUCACUCUCUUCUGAAGGAAGCUGUGCAGUUUCAGCAGCAGGGUAAUGAAAAGCAUCCUCAUAGACCAGGUUAGGGGAAUAGCUUGGUGAAACAGCCUGGACAUCGAGGUACAGCGCAGAGCUGGAGUAACCCCCUUUAGUGUCAGUUCUAGAUACUACGUCAGCCUGCAGAGUCUGUGCGCUAAUGGUCGGCGCCAUGUUACCUGAAUUAAUGGAGAAUACUGGCUCCCCUCCUCCGGUCAUGUAGGAAGCAGAGGACCGACUUCUUGGCUGGUCCGCAUAGAAGUGUGAGCCCUCUUGUUCACCAGCCUGGAAGUUGAGGUUCUGGGUAGGAUUAAAGUACCCGCCACUUUUAGACACUUGUUUAGACUCCAAAGUAGGACCACUACUGAAUGCACCAUCGUCCAUCAACAGAUAUGGAGUAGGAGGGAUAAGGUCAGAGCCUGCCAGUUCUGAAGAUGGUUUGGUAGAAGGCUUAGGGAACUGAGGCUUUGCGCUGCCCCUCUGCUCCUCAAAAGAGUAAUCAUGCUGGUUGGCAGGGUUUAGAGGAAGUUUCUGGUCUUCAAUCUCAGCAUUUUUCUGUCCAAACUCCACAGCUCUGCCUCCCUGGAUCCUCGCCCCUUCCUCGGGGUUCAACAGUGCCUGCUUUGGAGCUGCAGCUAGUGGGACUUUUUUGCUUCGGUCUGAAUAUCCUUUUGCUAGGCUAUAUGCCUCAAACCUCAGAGUAUGAGAAGUUUGUAGCUCGUCAUCUUUAUCACCCCCAAUUUCAGGAUGGUCAGUCUUGGAGGUAUAGCUG
ensembl:lncRNA